CGGAGGAGCAUGUGGUUUAAUUCGAUGAUACGCGAGGAACCUUACCUGGGCUCGAACGUAAGAUGACUGUAGGUGAAGGCUUACAUCUCUUCGGAGCAUUUUACGAGGUGCUGCAUGGUUGUCGUCAGCUCGUGCCGUGAGGUGUCGGGUUAAGUCCCAUAACGAGCGCAACCCUACCUUUAGUUGCCAUCAGGUAAUGCUGGGGACUCUAAAGGAACUGCCUACGCAAGUAGUGAGGAAGGCGGGGAUGACGUCAAAUCAGCACGGCCCUCACGUCCAGGGCUACACACGUGCUACAAUGGCCGAUACAGAGGGCAGCUACCUGGUGACAGGAUGCAAAUCUCCAAAGUCGGUCUCAGUUCGGAUCGGAGUCUGCAACCCGACUCCGUGAAGUUGGAUUCGCUAGUAAUCGCGCAUCAGCCAUGGCGCGGUGAAUACGUUCCCGGGCCUU
rnacentral:rRNA from 1 species